UACGUAGGGAGCGAGCGUUAUCCGGAAUUAUUGGGUGUAAAGGGUGCGUAGACGGGAAGACAAGUUGGUUGUGAAAUCCCUCGGCUUAACUGAGGAACUGCAACCAAAACUAUCAUUCUUGAGUACUGGAGAGGAAAGUGGAAUUCCUAGUGUAGCGGUGAAAUGCGUAGAUAUUAGGAGGAACACCGGUGGCGAAGGCGGCUUGCUGGACUGUAACUGACGUUGAGGCUCGAAAGCGUGGGGAGCAAACAGG
rnacentral:rRNA from 1 species